rnacentral:lncRNA from 1 species
UCGAAAGCAAAAUAUAACAUGCAUAUUCACGUGAUCACGUCAAUCAUUUUGUCCCGAUUCUCUCGUCAGAUAUGCUAUCCUAUUCGUGCGACGUUGUCAUGCCUUUUCUUUUCUUUUUUUUUACUAGAUGAAACGAGACAUGUAUAGUAUAGUUGAGAAGAUAAUGUUGAAGAAGUUUUAAAAUCUUGUUAACAACUUCGAUAUAUUUUAUGAAAGAUGAUAUGUUAUAUACCACCUAACCAAAUUAUCCAGCUUGGUGGCGUAUAAACAAAUUUUCAUUGGUCCGUAUCCACUAAUUAUAUAUGAAAAU